UUCGAGGGAGACACUCGAUAAACAGAAUUACUGGGCGUAAAGCGCACGUAGGCGGAUUUGUAAGUCAGGGGUGAAAUCCCUGGGCUCAACCUCGGAACUGCCUUUGAUACUGCAAUAUCUCGAGUCCGGAAGAGGUGAGUGGAAUUCCUAGUGUAGAGGUGAAAUUCGUAGAUAUUAGGAAGAACACCAGUGGCGAAGGUGGCUCACUGGUCCGGUACUGACGCUGAGGUGCGAAAGCGUGGGGAGCAAACAGG
rnacentral:rRNA from 1 species